AAGUACCUGAAGGAAGAGAAAGAAAUUCGAUUCCGUAAGUAGCGGCGAGCGAACGCGGAUUAGCCCAAACCAAUAAAGUUUUCUUUAUUGGGGUUGCGGACAUAUCAUAACGAAGAGGUAUCGUAAUUGAAGAGGUUUGGAAAGACCCACCACAGAAGGUAAUAGUCCUGUAUGUUAAACGAGAAGACUUCAGAUAUGAUCCAGAGUACCACGGGACACGUGAAACCCUGUGGGAAGCAGGAGGGACCACCCUCCAAGGCUAAAUACUACCUAGUGACCGAUAGCGUAUAGUACCGUGAGGGAAAGGUGAAAAGAACCCCGGGAGGGGAGUGAAAUAGAACCUGAAACCCUGCACUUACAAGCUGUGGAAGCACAUUUCUUGUGUGACCGCGUACUUUUUGUAGAACGGGCCAACGAGUUACGUUAAGUAGCAAGGUUAAGCACUUAAGGUGUGGAGCCGUAGCGAAAGCGAGUUUUAACUGAGCGUUCAGUUACUUGACGUAGACCCGAAACCGGGCGACCUACCCAUGAGCAGGAUGAAGCGAAAGUAAAAUUUCGUGGAGGUCCGAACCCACGAGCGUUGAAAAGCUCGGGGAUGACUUGUGGGUAGCGGUGAAAUUCCAAUCGAGCCCGGAGAUAGCUGGUUCUCCCCGAAAUAGCUUUAGGGCUAGCCUCAAGGUGAGAGAUACGGAGGUAGAGCACUGAAUGUCCUAGGGGGUAUUGCACCUACCGAAGACUAUCAAACUCCGAAUGCCGUCAUCUUAUACUUGGGAGUCAGACUGUGGGUGAUAAGAUUCAUAGUCGAAAGGGCAACAGCCCAGAUCGUCAGCUAAGGUCCCUAAAUGUAAGUUAAGUGGUAAAGGAUGUGGGAUUGCACAGACAACCAGGAUGUUGGCUUAGAAGCAGCCACUCAUUCAAAGAGUGCGUAAUAGCUCACUGGUCGAGUGAUCCUGCGCCGAAGAUUUCCGGGGCUAAAACUUACUACCGAAGCUACGGCAUCAGUAAUGAUGGGUAGGGGAGCUUCCCAUACGGGUUGAAGCAUGACCGUAAGGACAUGUGGACAGUAUGGGAGUGAGAAUGUUGGCAUGAGUAGCGAGAUGUGGGUGAGAAUCCCACAGGCCGUAAACCCAAGGUUUCCAGGGGAAGGUUCGUCCGCCCUGGGUUAGUCGGGACCUAAGCUGAGGCCGAAAGGCGUAGGUGAUGGACAACAGGUUGAUAUUCCUGUACUACCGAUAACCGUUUGAGAGAAGGGAUGACACAGUAGGAUAAGCUAAGCACACUGUUGGUUAUGUGUGCCCAAGCAUUGAGGCAGUCAAAGUAGGCAAAUCCGCUUUGAUAAUGCUGGGAUGUGAUGGGGAGCGAAAUUUAGUAGCGAAGUAGCUGAUUUCACACUGUCAAGAAAAGUCUCUAUCGAGGUUAAAGGUACCCGUACCGCAAACCGACACAGGUGGGUGAGGAGAGUAUCCUAAGGCCAGCGAGAGAACUGUUGUUAAGGAACUCGGCAAAAUGACCCCGUAACUUAGGGAUAAGGGGUGCCACCAUCAGGUGGCCGCAGAGAAUAGGCCCAAGCGACUGUUUACCAAAAACAUAGGUUUCUGCUAAGUCGCAAGACGAUGUAUAGGAGCUGACGCCUGCCCGGUGCUGGAAGGUUAAGGGGAUCUGUUAGAGCAAUCGAAGCAGUGAACUUAAGCCCCAGUAAACGGCGGCCGUAACUAUAACGGUCCUAAGGUAGCGAAAUUCCUUGUCGGGUAAGUUCCGACCCGCACGAAAGGCGUAACGAUUUGGGCACUGUCUCAACAACAGACUCGGUGAAAUUGUAAUUCCGGUGAAGAUGCCGGAUACCUGCGACAGGACGGAAAGACCCCAUGGAGCUUUACUGUAGCUUGACAUUGGGUUUUGGUACUACAUGUACAGGAUAGGUGGGAGGCUUUGAAACCAGGACGCCAGUUUUGGCGGAGCCAUCCUUGGGAUACCACCCUUGUAGUACUGGGACUCUAACCAUAGGCCAUGAAUCUGGUCUUGGGACACUGUCAGGUGGGCAGUUUGACUGGGGCGGUCGCCUCCCAAAAGGUAACGGAGGCGCUCAAAGGUUCUCUCAGUACGGUCGGAAAUCGUACGUAGAGUGUAAAGGCAAAAGAGAGCUUGAUUGCAAGACAUACAGGUCGAGCAAGGAUGAAAAUCGGACUUAGUGAUCCGGUGGUUCUGCGUGGAAGGGCCAUCGCUCAACGGAUAAAAGCUACCCUGGGGAUAACAGGCUUAUCUCCCCCAAGAGUCCACAUCGACGGGGAGGUUUGGCACCUCGAUGUCGGCUCAUCACAUCCUGGGGCUGUAGUAGGUCCCAAGGGUUGGGCUGUUCGCCCAUUAAAGUGGUACGCGAGCUGGGUUCAGAACGUCGUGAGACAGUUCGGUCCCUAUCCGUCGCAGGCGUAGGAAAUUUGAGAAGACCUGUCCUUAGUACGAGAGGACCGGGAUGGACGUACCUCUGGUGUACCAGUUGUUCUGCCAAGGGCAUGGCUGGGUAGCUAUGUACGGAAUGGAUAAGCGCUGAAAGCAUCUAAGCGCGAAGCCAACUUCAAGAUAAGAUUUCCCACCGCAAGGGUAAGACCCCAGAAAGACUAUCUGGUUGAUAGGUCGAAGGUGUAAGUGCAGCAAUGUAUUUAGCUUAUCGAUACUAAUAGGUCGAGGACUUGACCAA
rnacentral:rRNA from 1 species